GCUUUGAUAGCUCAGUUGCUAGAGCAUUGCACCGGUAAUGCAAAGGUCGUGGGUUCGAAUCCCAUUCAGAGCC
rnacentral:tRNA from 1 species